AAAAUUGCAAGUGGAUUCGUGUCUGAAAGUGUUGCAGGUGGCAGGUGGAAUCGAGAAUGACUUCCAAUUGCAUGUACCAUUUCACAGACCUAUAGGUUUUUCUUUUGUUGGAUUUGUCAAUUACAGGUGUGAAUGGUCAGUUAGUUGUAAGUUAAAUGGUGAGCUAAGAACUUGUUUAUAUGCAUUGCCAUUGUGAUUUGAAUAUGAAAGUUGAUGUAUAUGUAUUGGGAAUGUUGUUAUUUUCUUUGCUUGUUGCUAUGUGAUACUGUUGACCUUAUUGUGCAUUGUUGUUAUAGGAUGAUGUUUGGGCAUUGCAGGUUUAUGCUGGGAUGGGCCUGCCAUGAUGAUGCUUGCUUUGAGUGAAGCCAAUGAUGUUGUGUUAAUGUUGUUGUUGCUGUAGUUCUAAAGGUCACGACUUUGUUAGGUUUGGCUGCUAGGUAAGUAACAUUUAGCUUACUUAGAAUCAAAUGUCCUUGCCAUGAUGAAUUUCUUGAACAUGAUGCUAACUAAUAUGAAUAUGAUUCCAUGUACAUGAACUGCUGCCAUAGUCUUGAACAAAACAUGCUUAUCCCUGCCAUACAAUGGUUCUACACAUUUGUAUCAUGUCAUGGGCUGAUAACUUUAAAUGCAACUAGUAUUUAUUUGAAUGAAUAUGAUCCUGACUUGUAUGCAAUGCCUUGAAAUGUGCGCUGCUCACUGAUGUUUUUACUUGGUGCAAUGCAUGAUGCCAUGGAUUAGUUUUGUGUGAUGUAUUGCUUAUGCAUGACAUGACUGUUAGCAUAAAUGUUUAGAAACAUGUGGUUAAUUGGUUUAUGUUGGUUCAGACUUCGGUGUGUGUUCAUGUUGUGCAUUGCUUGGCCUUGAUGGUAGCUUGUAGUCUUGCAUUUACUUGCAGGUUUGCUCAUAGGAUAAGUUACCAUUACAAGGCAUUAUCAUGUGGCAAAAUGAACAAAGUAUGACUUGAAGAAGAAAACUUGCUUCGUGAAGCAACAAUUAAUCAUGGAAUUGAAAUGGAAGAUUAGCAUGAAGCAAUUAGCAUUAGGUUUAGGGAAGAUGUGAGUAGACUUUGUUCAAAGUUGACCAAAAAGUCAAAUGUUGACCAAAGUCAACACUUGGUCAAAGUUGCCAAAAUUUGUAAUUUUUCAUUUAAUGGACAUCUUAUUUGUAAUGAUGGGAUUUGAUGUAUAUGAAUGAAAUUGACACUUGUUUAUGAAUGAAGUUGGCACUUGUUUAUGAAUGAAUUUGAUACUUGUAGUGAA
rnacentral:lncRNA from 1 species